GAGGAAAGAGGGAGGCGUGCCUAAUACAUGCAAGUCGAGCGAACAGAUGAGGAGCUUGCUCCUCUGACGUUAGCGGCGGACGGGUGAGUAACACGUGGAUAACCUACCUAUAAGACUGGGAUAACUUCGGGAAACCGGAGCUAAUACCGGAUAAUAUAUUGAACCGCAUGGUUCAAUAGUGAAAGACGGUUUUGCUGUCACUUAUAGAUGGAUCCGCGCCGCAUUAGCUAGUUGGUAAGGUAACGGCUUACCAAGGCAACGAUGCGUAGCCGACCUGAGAGGGUGAUCGGCCACACUGGAACUGAGACACGGUCCAGACUCCUACGGGAGGCAGCAGUAGGGAAUCUUCCGCAAUGGGCGAAAGCCUGACGGAGCAACGCCGCGUGAGUGAUGAAGGUCUUCGGAUCGUAAAACUCUGUUAUUAGGGAAGAACAAAUGUGUAAGUAACUAUGCACGUCUUGACGGUACCUAAUCAGAAAGCCACGGCUAACUACG
rnacentral:rRNA from 1 species